rnacentral:rRNA from 1 species
ACUCAAAUGAAUUGACGGGGGCCCGCACAAGCAGCGGAGCGUGUGGUUUAAUUCGAUGCAACACGAAGAACCUUACCAAGGCUUGACAUGCUUGAAGUAGCAAACCGAAAGGGGAGCCACCUGUUAAGUCAGGAGCUUGCACAGGUGCUGCAUGGCUGUCGUCAGCUCGUGCCGUGAGGUGUUGGGUUAAGUCCCCCAACGAGCGUAACCCCUAUUGCCAGUUAUUUUCUCUGGCGAGACUGCCCCGCAAAACGGGGAGGAAGGUGGGGAUGACGUCAAGUCAGCACGGCCCUUAUGCCUUGGGCUACACACACGCUACAAUGGUCGGUACAAUGGGUUGCAAUGGGGCGACUCGGAGCUAAUCCUGAAAGCCGAUCUCAGUUCGGAUUGCAGGCUGAAACCCGCCUGCAUGAAGUCGGAGUUGCUAGUAACCGUGAGUCAGCAAAUUACGGUGAAUACGUUCUCGGGCCUUGCACACACCGCCCGU